rnacentral:rRNA from 1 species
GAUGAACGCUGGCGGCGUGCCUAAUACAUGCAAGUCGAACGCGAGAGGAGGGAGCUUGCUCCCUCUGAUCGAGUGGCGGACGGGUGAGUAACACGUAGGCAACCUGCCCAUCAGCCGGGGAUAACUGCGGGAAACCGUGGCUAAUACCGGAUAAUCCUCUCCACCGCGGGGUGGGGAGUUGAAAGACGGUUUCGGCUGUCGCUGAUGGAUGGGCCUGCGGCGCAUUAGCUGGUUGGCGGGGUAACGGCCCACCAAGGCAACGAUGCGUAGCCGACCUGCGAGGGUGAUCGGCCACACUGGGACUGGGACACGGCCCAGACUCCUACGGGAGGCAGCAGUAGGGAAUCUUCCGCAAUGGACGCAAGUCUGACGGAGCAACGCCGCGUGAGUGAAGAAGGGUUUCGGCUCGUAAAACUCUGUUGUUAAGGAAGAACGCCAGGUAGAGUAACUGCUACCUGUGUGACGGUACUUAACCAGAAAGCCACGGCUAACUACGUGCCAGCAGCCGCGGUAA